AUGUGGUCACCAUAGCAUUGCUUAUCUAUGAAAAUGGAGACCACUUUGUGUUGGGAGCCUGGAAAGGGAUACACCAUUGGACUGCUUCCAAACAAGCCCUAGCCUCUGCCAUAGUCAUAAAGAAAGAUAACCCUGAAAUCCUCGCAAUCCGGACUUUGUCGGUUAGGUACUGAACCAGAACGAGACUAUUUGUGAAAAUGGAGACCACUUUGUGCUCGGAAUAGAUACACACCAUUGGACUGCUUCCAAACGCGCCUUAGCCUCCUCCGCCAUAGUCGCCGGACAAGAAGAAUCCAGUUUAACAUCCUCA